rnacentral:tRNA from 1 species
GGACUGGUGGCUGAGUGGUAAAGCACUUGGCUUCUGAAUGAGGUGUCUUGGGUUCAAAUCCCAGUAAGGACU